rnacentral:lncRNA from 1 species
UAUUGGCGUUUCAGAUCAUGGUACAUUCUGGUGCAAUUGGGAUGGAUGGGUAACUUCGACGUACAUACCUCCCUUAAAAUAGUUGCUCGGAGUGAUGGGCAGUUUGGUACUCAAAUCCAAUUACAAAACCAGUACAGUCCGUCAUCAGUCACUGUGAAAUGAUAAUCACUGCUACUAUCACCCAUGGAGCAAAACUUGUUCCUAUGCUCCAAAAGCUCUAUGUCUGUUGCCUGAGCUCCCCAAAGUCUACUAGGGAUAUAGGGUUGUUCCCCUAUCUGUACAAGGUAGAGACUGUAGUCGCGUUGACUUAUUCGAAGUUCUGAAUUAUCUCUAAUAUCUUUCACCUAGAUGUCAGUAGACACUUCAAGGAGGCUCAUUUUUUUCGAUCGGGGGCACCAUGAGCUUUCUUCCUCUACUGAGAUGUUGUAAGAUUGUACAGCACAAUCCUUCAAAAGAUCUAUUCAACGUUCCCGCCUUUGAGUCCAUUCCUCCUUUGAGAAUACUUACUUUAGG